CCGCCACAACGGCUUCCUGACGUGGCGGUUAAAUCCCAAUGGAGCA
rnacentral:ncRNA from 1 species